rnacentral:rRNA from 1 species
GGACGAACGCUGGCGGCGUGCUUACCACAUGCAAGUCGAACGGAAAGGCCCUGCUUUUGUGGGGUGCUCGAGUGGCGAACGGGUGAGUAACACGUGAGUAACCUGCCCUUGACUUUGGGAUAACUUCAGGAAACUGGGGCUAAUACCGGAUAGGAGCUCCUGCUGCAUGGUGGGGGUUGGAAAGUUUCGGCGGUUGGGGAUGGACUCGCGGCUUAUCAGCUUGUUGGUGGGGUAGUGGCUUACCAAGGCUUUGACGGGUAGCCGGCCUGAGAGGGUGACCGGCCACAUUGGGACUGAGAUACGGCCCAGCCUCCUACGGGAGGCAGCAGUGGGGAAUAUUGCACAAUGGGCGGAAGCCUGAUGCAGCAACGCCGCGUGCGGGAUGACGGCCUUCGGGUUGUAACCCGCUUUCGCCUGUGACGAAGCGUGAGUGACGGUAAUGGGUAAAGAAGCACCGGCUAACUACGU